GUGAAGCAAAAUUGUUGAGCUCGUCGAGGCCAUCAAUUUGAUAGGAACCAAUCAUCAUUUGGUGCACUCCAAGGAGUUCAAAAUUCUAGGGUUCUUGGGCUCAAAUUGGGGGUUUUCAUCAAUUUGAGGAUAUGGAAAAGAGGUGGCGGACGACGGUCCACCACAGGUUUAGAUGAGCUUGAAGACCCAUUCUAUUUUGUUAUCUUUUGUAUUAGACUCUAAUAUUUUGUAAAUGUAAUAUUAACUACCUUGUGACACUUUAGUUUAAUUAGUAUAAUGUUGUAAGCUAUGGACUUUUAAUUCUAGCUACAUUUUAUGGAUUGUAAUUUGAUGUAACUUAAGUGGGUUCCAUG